rnacentral:tRNA from 1 species
GCUCCCUUCGUCUAGAGGCCCAGGACGUCGCCCUCUCACGGCGAAAACAGGGGUUCGAACCCCCUAGGGAGCGCCA